AGGUCCCCCCGGGACGCACGUGCGCGGCGCCAGGCCCUGCUCGGGUCACUCGGGCGCGGGCAAGGUGACCGCUUCCCCACCGCCGCUCCUAUGGGUUAAGAAAGCCCUUGGCCCUUCUCCUGAGCUCUCUUUCCCGCCUUUCCCUUCGAAGUAGUUUGUGUGUUUUAAAUAAAGAUUUCAUUCUGCCAACCCGCAGGAAGCUUUUAACCAGAUGCAGCUGAGCUUGCCGAGGUCUGCUAUCUUCUCGCUGCGGGGCGGGGUGUUCGGAACUCGAGUCUCCUCUGAACUCCAGUUUAAGGCUGGCAUCGUGCAGGCGCGGUGCCCCUGGGGCUGCUUUACUCUGGCUUCUACACAGCCAUUCUUUGGUGACCUCGGGGAAGACAGGACCCGAAAGCCACGCAAGGUGGAGGUGACCAGUGCUCGAAGAACAGUGAGCGAUAAACAUAGGAUGAUGACCGGUGAGAAGUUUUUUGGCGGAGACACCGAGCUACAGAUUUUACGUCACAACCGCUGCUAUUCUUGCAAACCAAAUGGCAACGUAGGCAAUCGCAGAACAAAAAUAAAGCGUUAAUUUAAAAAAUACAUAAGGCACAAGACUGGGUAAGUAGUUCAAUGGCAACUCAUUCGUAAAACCCAUAGAAAAAAUUUGCAUGUGCGGGCACGCUCCAGUGCACAUUUACGCGUUUGCUUACGUACACGCAGAGAGCACAACUGGUCACUAACAUGUCAGUUUCCCCUCAAAUAUAAGCUAAUCAUGAUUUGGUAGCGUAACAGGGUAGACAAACAUAAAUGUGUCUCAAGGCUAUUUUAAUCAGAGAGAGAAAAGCAAGAAUUGGUGAAUACCCAACACCAGGUAUAUUGUGUUGAAUUUUACCUAAUGUCAAGAGGGCUAUUAUUUCAAGACUUUAAACAAUGAGAAGUCAUUAGUUUGGAAAAGCAGAAUGUGGGAAGAGUGGCAUGAAAAUACAACUUAAAUAUCUGGAAAAUUACUUAAAGAUUUGACUUUAUUGUAUUAUGGAAUGGGCCAGAAUUGGCAAAAAUAGGAAGAG
rnacentral:lncRNA from 1 species